AACCCAUGGUGUGGACGUUGCUUCUUCAACUCCUUAAACCUCUCCCAAGACUCGGUUAGGGACUCAGUAGCUAGUUGUUUAAAAUUUUGAAUUGCCCUUCUCAUCCU
rnacentral:snoRNA from 1 species